rnacentral:rRNA from 1 species
UCGUCAGCUCGUGUCGUGAGAUGUUGGGUUAAGUCCCGCAACGAGCGCAACCCCUGUUCUUAGUUGCCAGCGAGUAAUGUCGGGGACUCUAGGAAGACUGCCGGCGCAAGCCGCGAGGAAGGUGGGGACGACGUCAAGUCAUCAUGGCCUUUAUGCCCAGGGCUACACACGUGCUACAAUGGCGGGUACAACGGGUCGCAAAGCCGCGAGGUGGAGCCAAUCCAGGAAAGCCCGUCCCAGUUCGGAUUGGAGUCUGCCAACCCGACUCCAUGAAGUUGGAAUCGCUAGUAAUCGCGCAUCAGCCAUGGCGCGGUGAAUACGUUCCCGGACCUU